GAUGAACGCUAGCGGCAGGCUUAACACAUGCAAGUCGAGGGGCAGCGCGGGGUAGCAAUAUCCUGGCGGCGACCGGCGGAAGGGUGCGUAACGCGUGAGCGACAUGCCCGUUGCCCGGGGACAACCGGUGGAAACGCCGACUAAUCCCCGAUGGGAUACGAUGCUUCAUGGCAUUGUAUUGAAAGUUACGGCGGCGACGGAUUGGCUCGCGUCCGAUUAGCUGGUUGGCGGGGUAACGGCCCACCAAGGCUGCGAUCGGUAGGGGUUCUGAGAGGAAGGCCCCCCACAAUGGGACUGAGACACGGCCCAUACUCCUACGGGAGGCAGCAGUGAGGAAUAUUGGUCAAUGGGCGGAAGCCUGAACCAGCCAUGCCGCGUGCGGGAAGGAGGCCCUAUGGGCUGUGAACCGCUUUUGCCUGGGGGCAAUAAGGGCGUCGCGCACGUCCGAUGAGAGUACCAGGCGAAUAAGCAUCGGCUAACUCCGUG
rnacentral:rRNA from 1 species